rnacentral:rRNA from 1 species
AGCUCCAAUAGCGUAUAUUUAAGUUGUUGCAGUUAAAAAGCUCGUAGUUGGAUUUCGGGCCUGGGCGACCGGUCCGCCGUUUCGGUGUGCACUGGUUGGCUUGGUCUUUCUGCCGGGGACGCGUUCCGGACUUAAUUGGCCGGACGCGGAGUCGGCGAUGUUACUUUGAAAAAAUUAGAGUGUUCAAAGCAGGCUUACGCUCUGAAUACUAUAGCAUGGAAUAACACGAUAGGACUCCGAGCCUAUUUUGUUGGUCUUCGGGACCGGAGUAAUGAUUAAGAGGGACAGUUGGGGGCAUUCGUAUUUCGGUGUCAGAGGUGAAAUUCUUGGAUUUCCGAAAGACGAACUUCUGCGAAAGCAUUUGCCAAGGAUGUUUUCAUUAAUCAAGAACGAAAGUACG